rnacentral:rRNA from 1 species
GACGAACGCUGGCGGCGUGCUUAACACAUGCAAGUCGAACGGUGAAGCCCCAGCUUGCUGGAGUGGAUCAGUGGCGAACGGGUGAGUAACACGUGAGCAACCUGCCCCAGACUCUGGAAUAAGCGCUGGAAACGGCGUCUAAUACUGGAUACGAGAUCAAGCCGCAUGGUGGGGGUCGGGAAAGUUCGUCGGUUUGGGAUGGGCUCGCGGCCUAUCAGCUUGUUGGUGGGGUAAUGGCUCACCAAGGCGACGACGGGUAGCCGGCCUGAGAGGGCGACCGGCCACACUGGGACUGAGACACGGCCCAGACUCCUACGGGAGGCAGCAGUGGGGAAUAUUGCACAAUGGGCGGAAGCCUGAUGCAGCGACGCCGCGUGAGGGAUGACGGCCUUCGGGUUGUAAACCUCUUUCAGCAGGGAAGAAGCGAAAGUGACGGUACCUGCAGAAGAAGCACCGGCUAACUACGUG